GCCUGCGCGCCCCCGGCCGGCCCCGCCACCUUCCAUCGGGCCGCCGGCUGAGUCAAGAAAAAAAGAAGUCAGGGGAGCGAAGGGCGAAAAGCGCCCCGCACAAAGAUGGCCGCCGCAGCGGGGAAGGUGGCGGCGCGCCCCGCACAAAGAUGGCCGCCCUGGUCAAUUCCACAUCGGUCCCAUCGCCGCUGCGCAUCCGGGACAAAACUCGCUUUGCCUGCUGGGAGUUGUAGUGCCGGACACUUGCACGUUACAUCUCAGAGAGAUUUGGGUGCAGGUCUGGGGCAUCCCCAGCCUCCCCUCCUCCCCUGCUCUCAGCCCUGGGCAGGGGGCGCACUCAGACCACAGCCCCGCCCUGCCCAGGGGUGACUGCGGUGUGGAUCGCAGCCCUGGAGCCCCUCACUAACCCUGCUGGCUUGGGUGUAUGCAGGGAGCGUGUGAACGCCACCUGUGGGGUGGGUGGGAAUUGCCCCACCUCAGGGGUACAGUUUGUAUAGUGGGGGUGCUAAGAGCCAUCGAACCAAACUGUAAACCCUGUUUAUGAUGGAAACCACUUCACACCAGGGGGUGCGGCAGCACCCUAGUUCCAGCACCUAUGUCCUGUCUCCCCAGUAGGGUGACCAGAUGUCCCAAUUUUAUAGGGACAGUCCUGAUAUUUGGGACUUUAUCUUUUAUAGGUGCCUAUGAGUCCCCACCCCUGUCCCAAUUUUUCACACUUGCUGUCUGGUCACUCUACCCCCCCAAAGGACACUGCACAGAGUAUCUCUGACACUGGUCUCAUCUGAUUUCUAAAGAAACUACAGAGAAGCUGAGAGACAAGGCUGCAAGGAAGCAUCAGGCAUGCUCUGAACAAGCAUUUAGUGUGUGGUCCUGGAAAAGUGGAGAGAGAGCGGGCCAGGUUCUGGCUAAAAGUACGGGACUGUGAGGUUUGGGGCUGUGAGCAAGAAAACGGUCUCCUAUUGUUUAGCUCCUCCCAUGUUCAGGGAAACAGAAUGUUGUACGUUCUCUCUAAAUGAAAAAAAGAUUGCAUUAAAGGUACCUGAACCCAU